AUGACUUGGGCUCCACUGUUGUAUAUCUUCCUCCAUCACUUAACAGGAUCAUGUGCCCAGUUUGUGCUGUCUCAGCCAAAGUCUGUGUCAGAGUCUCUAGGGAGAACAGUCACCAUCUCCUGCAAGCGCAGCAGUGGCAACAUUGAAGAUAACUAUGUGUACUGGUACCAGCAGCACUUUGGAAACUCGCCCAAAACUGUGAUCUAUAAUGACAAUAAAAGACCAUCUGGGGUUCCUGAUAGGUUCUCUGGCUCCAUUGACAGCUCCUCCAACUCAGCCUCACUGACGAUCACUUAUCUGCAGAUUGAAGAUGAGGCUGAAUACUUCUGUCUCUCUUCUGAUAAUAACUAUCUCCACAGUGAUGAGAAUCAUGGGGAAGUAUCAGGGUAA